rnacentral:rRNA from 1 species
CGAGUAACACGUAAGCAACCUGCCCUGCAGUGGGGGAUAACAGCGGGAAACUGCUGCUAAUACCGCAUAGGCAUAUUUCUGGGCAUCCAGGGAUGUGUAAAGGCUAGACUGCUGCAGGAGGGGCUUGCGGCCUAUUAGCUAGUCGGUGGGGUAACGGCCUACCGAGGCGACGAUGGGUAGCUGGUCUGAGAGGAUGGUCAGCCGGAUCGGGACUGAGACACGGCCCGGACUCCUACGGGGGGCAGCAAUCAGGAAUAUUGCGCAAUGGGGGAAACCCUGACGCAGCGACGCCGCGUGCGGGAUGAAGGCCUUCGGGUCGUAAACCGCUGUUGUGGGAGACGAAUGACUGUCGAUGAGGCAGUGGAGACGGUAUCUCACGAGGAAGCCCCGGCUAACUACGUGCCAGCAGCCGCGGUAAUACGUAGGGGGCGAGCGUUGUCCGAAGUUACUGGGCGUAAAGCGCGCGUAGGCGGCUCUUUAAGUGACUGGUGAA